CCUACAUAAUUCAUCAUCUUGAAAUAGGAGUAAUGAAGUAGAGUAGUAUCUAUCUAGGAGUUUUGGACCGACCACUGCCAGAAAUGGAAGGUCAGUACUUCUAGUUGCAGUGAAGGAAGGAGGUGGUAGGAUGACAAAAAUGAGAAAGGUCAAUGACCAUCUCAGGGGAGCUACAAGAACAUCUGGCAACAGCCAGUAUCGUUCUUCACUGUUCCACUGUUCCAGUGUAAUUGGACUGAUAAGGACUGGGCCAUCAUACCCGUCAGCUUCAGUCGUCUGUUCAUCGUCACCACUCUCUUCUUCUGGCUCAAUCAACACAUCUGUGUCUUCGUCGUCAACAUCUGUGCGGCCCACUUCGGCCUGAAAGGGAAAAUAAUGUGUGUCGGUGACCCUGUGGAAGGGAACCAGAGUUCCUAGAGGAACCCCAAAUGAGGAUGCAGGGCAAAGUCCACACAUAAAGGGCCCCUUUUUAAUAAACAAGUACAUGUUAGUAG